AAAACAAGCCAUCUGGGCAGGAUAGUAUCAGUCACACAUUAUCCUACUGCAAACAAAUGGUGCCCGGUGAAAGUAUUGGAUACAUACCUCCAAUCAUUACCACCACAGUCUGACAUCCCGCUGCUAGUCUUACACAAGAGGUCUUACAAACAGCCAAAUUCAUGCAAUACGUCCGCAUGUUACUGACCAGAGUAGGUCUGAAUGCUGGCAACUUUUUCUGGCCAUUCAUUUUGGAUAGGGGCAGCCUCCAGCCAAAAUAUUCCAAUACAUGUAAUCAAGUCUUUGGGCCGCUAGAAGUCCUCAGCAUUUGCUUUGUAUAUGCCUCAACCUGUGUUAGAAAUUAG